CCAGGCUGAAGACUUUUGCCGGAUUAGCUGAGAGGUGUGCAUUGGCCGUCGUCAGUUCGUACUGUGAAGCAUCCUGUUAAGUCAGGCAACGAGCGAGACCCAGCCCACAGUUGCCAGCGUACUCUCCGGAGUGACGGGUACACUGUGGGACCGCCGCUGCUAAAGCGGAGGAAGGAAUGGGCAACGGUAGGUCAGUAUGCCCCGAAUAUCCCGGGCUACACGCGAGCUACAAUGGUUGGUACAAUGGGUAUCUACCCCGAAAGGGGACGGGAAUCUCCUAAAACCAAUCUUAGUUCGGAUUGAGGGCUGCAACUCGCCCUCAUGAAGCUGGAAUCCGUAGUAAUCGCGUUUCAACAGAACGCGGUGAAUACGUCCCUGCUCCUU
rnacentral:rRNA from 1 species